rnacentral:misc_RNA from 1 species
GUGAAUCAUCAAAUUUUUGAACGCACAUUGCACUUUCUGGUAUUCCGGAAAGUAUGCCUGUUUCAGGGUCAGUUAAAUAAACAUCGGAGUUGUUGCUGCCUUUCGUGGUGACGCGUCUGGAUCUGGUCGUCUUACCUUCGGUUAGGUGACUUAAAAUUUUUGCAUGCUUUUCGUACGUAUU